rnacentral:piRNA from 1 species
UGCAUCACAAAAUGGGGUACUUGAGAC